rnacentral:rRNA from 1 species
CCUGCCUUGGAGUGGGGAAUAACAGCUGGAAACAGCUGCUAAUACCGCAUGAUGCAGUUGGGUCGCAUGGCUCUGACUGCCAAAGACUUAUCGCUCUGAGAUGGACUCGCGUCUGAUUAGCUAGUUGGCGGGGCAACGGCCCACCAAGGCGACGAUCAGUAGCCGGACUGAGAGGUUGGCCGGCCACAUUGGGACUGAGACACGGCCCAGACUCCUACGGAAGGCAGCAG